AGAGUGCUUUUAAAAAGUACAAUGACACUACCAAAAAAGUCAAGAACUUGAAGCCUUGGAAAGCUGCAAGUCAGAAAAAGAUAGUUAAAACACACAGGACAGUGGAAGGCUGAUUCACCACGCAUGCAACUCCAGAGUGGGUGCGAGCACACAUAGAACUCGCCCAGGUACACGGGGACAGGGCAGGGCGGGAGGGGACGGCGGAGUCAAACAGAUGGCACGAAAGGUAUUCUAUGGAGUGAAAUGUCCAAUCGGUAAAUAAUGUUAGCAGACACCUACCUUGAUGGCAAGGAGGGAGAUGUAAAUGAAAGCCACAUGAGAUCUCUUUAUCAACCCACCAGAAUGGCUAAAAUUUAAGUUGAUCAAUACAGUAAACACAGGAAAAGAUGUUCAGCAUUAAUCACUAGGGAAUUGCUGGUAAAUAUGUGAGCAACAGGAACUUCUGAACAGUGUUGGUGGGAAUAUAAACUAGCACCAUUCACCACCUUGGAAAUGAUUUGGCAAUACCAAAUGAAGUUGGAGAUGGCACCCAACUAAGACCUACCUAAUGUGCUUCUACAUGCCCUAAAGAAAUCCAAGUACUUAUGGAUCAGGAUAUAUGGACAAGAAUGUUCUCAAAAUCACAGUCUAUAAUGGCUUUACUCAAGCGUCUAUUAAGUGAAGGAGCGACACCUACAUGCAAUAAGUAGAUUAAUUUGACCAAAAAUGUUAAUAAAUGAGGUAAUAAAAAUACAAUUCAGAAAUGGGCAAAAAUUAAAGUGUUUGUUGGUUAUAUACACAUAUAUGAUAAAACUUGAGAGAAGCAAGGCAAUGGACGUCAUGAGACAGGACAGUGACUGUCUCCAGAGUGGAGGAAGGAAUACCACCCAGAGCAGAACAGGAGAGAUUCCACGGGCUGCACAUGCUCUGUUUCUUGAAGUGCAUGUUUCCAGAAAUACACUUCUAUAUCCCCUUCCGUCUACAUACCAUACUUCACAUUUUAAUAAAGAAGGAAUGGUAAGGAUGAAUACUACUCAACAAACAUUGCUGGAGAAAAACUCAGCUAUGCUGACUGGUUCAUGGUCAUAAACACUAAAACAAGGUCUGGCCUGGCCACUCUGGUCAAACUGCUCAGGCUCUCACUGACCUCUCUGUCAGGAGCACUGACACAAGUUUUCACUCUUUGCUCCAUGAUAGAUGUGUAUCACUUGGUUUCUAAUAAACCACACUCUUUUGAUUUUUCUCCUAACUGUUCACUCCUCAUCAACACUGCUGAUUUCUUUUCUUAAAGUUGGAGUUUCCCAGAGUCUUCAAUGUCAUUCUCUCUGUACUCAUGCUCUUGGUAAUUAUAAGCAGCCUCAUAAUUAAAUUCAUCUCUAUGCCAAUACUUCCAGUUCAGUCCCCUGUCUUGAGCUCCACAAUGACUCAUACUGUCUAGGUGACAUCAGAAAUGCCACAUGUCCAAAAACCCAUGCUCCCAACAUCCCCAAACCUGCUCUACCACAUGUUAACCAUCCCUAUUUCUAUUUAAGGGCCUUCCUCACUUGGAAGGUGCAUUCUGCCUAUUGCUCAGAACAAAAACCACAGGGCCAUUCCAGUCUUCUCUCCAGCCAGUCCAUUAACACACCUACUGGGCUGCAUCCCCCGACACAUCCAAUUGCUGGAGGUUUCUUCUCCUCCCUUAGGUCCACCACUCUGAUUCAAGCCACAUGUAUGUCACACAUGGGUUACUGCCCUAACUUCCCAUCUGGUCUCUCUGCUUGUACCUUUGACCCUCUAAAAGUCUAUUCUUAACAAGCAGCAGAAAAUCCUUUUAACAUUUAAUGUAGUUUCUGUCUCUCUUGUUCAACAUUCUACAAUGGCUCCGCAUUUUACUCAGGAAAAGCCAACUCUGCCUAUGUUUUUAACCCAGAG
rnacentral:lncRNA from 1 species